CCCGCUGAACUUAAGCAUAUCAAUAAGCGGAGGAAAAGAAACCAACAGGGAUUGCCCUAGUAACGGCGAGUGAAGCGGCAACAGCUCAAAUUUGAAAUCUGGCCCCUAGGCCCGAGUUGUAAUUUGUAGAGGAUGCUUUUGGCGCGGUGCCUUCUGAGUUUCCUGGAACGGUACGCCAUAGAGGGUGAGAGCCCCGUAUAGUCGGCCUCCAAGCCAAUGUAAAGCUCCUUCGACGAGUCGAGUAGUUUGGGAAUGCUGCUCAAAAUGGGAGGUAAAUUUCUUCUAAAGCUAAAUACCGGCCAGAGACCGAUAGCGCACAAGUAGAGUGAUCGAAAGAUGAAAAGCACUUUGAAAAGAGGGUUAAACAGUACGUGAAAUUGUUGAAAGGGAAGGGCUUGAAAUCAGACUUGGUAUUCAAUGAUCAAUUUUCUUUCGGGGAGAUGCACUCGUUGUUUACUGGGCCAACAUCGAUUUAGACGGUGAGAUAAUGACAGUUGAAUGUGGCUUGCUUCGGUAAGUGUUAUAGCUUCUGUUGAUAUCAUCAGUUUGGAUCGAGGACUGCGCAUUUUUGCUAGGAUGUUGGCGUAAUGAUUUUAAGCCACCCGUCUUGAAACACGG
rnacentral:rRNA from 1 species